rnacentral:rRNA from 1 species
AAAACAAUAAAGGUAAUAGAUAGUGUAUAUUUAUUUAGUGAUUUUAUUAAAUAAUAGUACUGUGAAGGACACUAUGAAAUUAUAACUAUGCCAAUACAAUAAUAAAUUAUUAUGUACCUUUUGCAUCAUGGGUCAGCUACUUAAUAAACAUAAAAAUAAAUCAAAUUUAA